UCGAGAAUUUUUCACAAUGGGGGAAACCCUGAUGGAGCGACGCCGCGUGGGGGAUGAAGGGCUUCGGUCCGUAAACCCCUGUCAUCAGCGAACAAACCUUCUCGUUGAACAAACGGGAAGCUGAUUGUAGUUGGAGAGGAAGGGACGGCUAACUCUGUGCCAGCAGCCGCGGUAAUACAGAGGUCCCAAGCGUUGUUCGGAUUCACUGGGCGUAAAGGGUGCGUAGGUGGUUGGGUAAGUUUGAGGUGAAAUCUCCGGGCUUAACCCGGAAAUGGCCUUGAAUACUAUCUGGCUUGAGGAUUGGAGGGGAGACUGGAAUUCUCGGUGUAGCAGUGAAAUGCGUAGAUAUCGAGAGGAACACCAGUGGCGAAGGCGAGUCUCUGGACAAUUCCUGACACUGAGGCACGAAAGCUAGGGGAGCAAACGGGAUUAGAUACCCCCGUAGUCC
rnacentral:rRNA from 1 species